rnacentral:rRNA from 1 species
UGGGGGAUAUUGCGCAAUGGGGGAAACCCUGACGCAGCAACGCCGCGUGAAGGAAGAAGGCCUUCGGGUUGUAAACUUCUUUAAGUGUGGAAGAUAAUGACGGUACACACAGAAUAAGCCACGGCUAACUACGUGCCAGCAGCCGCGGUAAUACGUAGGGGGCAAGCGUUGUCCGGAAUCAUUGGGCGUAAAGCGUUCGUAGGCGGUAUAUCAAGUCUGGUGUUAAAGCCCGGGGCUCAACUCCGGUUCGGCACUGGAUACUGGUAAACUAGAAUGCGGUAGAGGUAAGGGGAAUUCCUGGUGUAGCGGUGAAAUGCGUAGAUAUCAGGAGGAACAUCGGUGGCGAAAGCGCCUUACUGGGCCGUAAUUGACGCUGAGGAACGAAAGCCGGGGGAGCAAAUG